UUGAUGGAGAGUUUGAUCCUGGCUCAGGACGAACGCUGGCGGCGGGCCUAACACAUGCAAGUCGAACGCACUCGACCUUCGGGUCAUAUGAGUGAGUGGCGAACGGGUGAGUAACACGUGAGAAACCUGCCCCGAAGACUGGAAUAACCCGAGGAAACUCGGGCUAAUACCGGAUGCCCCCAACUGAUCGCAUGAUCAGUUGAGGAAAUGCUCCGGCGCUUCGGGAGGGUCUCGCGGCCUAUCAGCUAGUUGGUGAGGUAACGGCUCACCAAGGCAACGACGGGUAGCUGGUCUGAGAGGACGAUCAGCCACACUGGGACUGAGACACGGC
rnacentral:rRNA from 1 species